GAUUCCUAUAGUUAAGGUUUAGUGCAGGAGUCUACUUGGAAGUUUUGAGAGCGAGAUGCGGACCCAGUAUCCUCACUUGUUUGAGAUUCUAGGUAUAUCCUAAUCCAUGACUUUCACAGACGAAAAUUCUUUUAGUAGUGGAUAUUGUAAUGACCCUUCAGUUCAUUUCAGUAUUUCUUCUUAUUUGCACCAUUAGAGCUUCUCCAUCUCUUCCGCAAGUCAUUUAUGAUUUGC
rnacentral:lncRNA from 1 species